UCAUAGCACACUGCAGCCUUGAACUCCUGGGCUCAGACCAUCCUCCUGCCUCAGCCGCCUGAGUAGCUGGUACUAUAGGCAUGCACUACCACACCUGGCUUGUAAUUUCGCUCUUGUUGCCCAGCCUGGAGUGCAAUGGUGCAAUUUUGGCUCACCACAACCUCUGCCUCCCGGGUUGAAGCGAUUCUCAUGCCUCAGCCUCCCGAGUAGCUGGGAUUACAGACGUGUGCCACCAUACCUGGGUAAUUUUUGCAUUUUUAGUGGAGAGGGAGUUUCACCAUGUUGGCCAGGUUGGUCUUGAACUCCUGACCUCAGGUGAUCCUCCUGCCUCGGCCUCCCAAAGUGCUGGGAUUACAGGCAUGAGCCACCGUGCUCAGCCGCAAAAUUCUUUAUGAAUUUUACACUUGGCAAAUGUUAAUGACGGAAGCCAUAGUCUGCUCCUAAUACAUGUCCAAAGCAUUGACUGUUGUGUCAUUAGCUGCCUGGUUACAUUAGCUCCCUGGCUUCUUGUUUAGACCACUGCUAAUCCCUUAAAAACAAGAGGUCUGGCACUAGUAGCACAACCUAAGGUGGCAUUACAGAUCUUUGAGCGAGCCACAGCAACUUUUCUGCCAAGUCAGCUUAGUUUAGACUUCAGUGAAUCAGGCUAUUGCUAUCCUAAUGUAUGUCUCUAUGAGUGUAUUUAGCCACACAUCUGCCCUUGGUUGACUUUCUGACUCAUUGCUUGCUUGCUUGUUUCCUUGCUUUGGAAAACUAUUGAAGAUUGCUAAAAAAUACCACUGCAAAGUGAUGGAAAAGGGUGGAGAACAGGGGAGUAGCCAGGCUGGAUGGCUCAAAUAUAAAUGAAUGAGGAAUUCUUUAUGAAGUAUCAGUCAGAUUUUAUGAUUAAGUGAUGUAAUAUAGGAAUUAUGUAAAAGGGAAGAAUGUCUGAUACUGAUCUAUUAGAGAGGUACUUUAGAGGCUUCUUGAUUGGCAUAAAGUUCCUAAGGUUAUAGAUUUUCCCCCCUUUUGGCUGUAUAGCAAAGUGUUUUAAUCCACGGUUGUGCCUUAUUGUUCCAUUAAAAUUGUAUCUUCGAUCCAUCAAUAAAUACUUGUGGUUGAAACAAAAUAA
rnacentral:lncRNA from 1 species